AUCUUGCUGGAGAUCCCUGCCUACUGAUGUCCUUCACAAGCCAAUUUUGUGAACAAGUUCUGCCAGCUCAUAAAGAGGUGUUUUAGCAACAUGUUCCAGAUGUGAAAGAUGAGAACCGCAAGUUGGAAUGCUAAGAAUGUUCAAAAUUGAACCCAGGGUGACUAGUUGGACAGGAUGAAGAUGAUGACUGAGCAUCUGGAUGGGCUGCAAGUCUCCUGAAAGGAGCAUCAGGGCAACUCAGCCAGAAAUUUUGUUGGCUAUGAGGAGGACACAGAUGACUGCAUGUGCUCUCACACUACCCAGAUCUGCGCCACUCCGCGGGCUCCUGUCCCACUGCCAGGCCUGCAAUUACAAUACUAGACCCAACAGGUGGCAAUCGCAGCCCAGCCUCUGCCUAGUGGAACACCUGUACAAGAGCUUCUGCCUCCCAAACUCUUCCAGACUUAGCAAAGCCAGCAGAAGAAGAGUGCUGGUACUUAACACGCUGCUCCAUUUCGGAUUUCAGGCCAUUUUCGAAGUGUGAUGCACUGCUCUGCUCUGUUCCAGAAAUCUGAAAUAGAACAAAGCAGCCUUAAACUAUGUCUGAGACCAUAAUCAGUGAUAUUGUGGGAAGUCAUAAGGAUGUCCUUGGGCUGUCCUAGGAUUUGGCCAUAUUGUUCUGUUUUCAUUUCCAUAUUGGCUCCAGAAGUAAGAAAAAAUAAACAGGAAGGAGAGAGAAAGGGUGGGGGUAACAGUGCUGUUAGUGAAGCUGAAGAGUUCACUUAUUUCCAUGGAAACAUUCACAUCCUAGCAACAGCAUAUUGAUAGUAAGAUGACAUGGAAAGACAAGAGCUGAUGCCUUUGGCUCAUGGGAAAACAAGCUAUCCUGGAUUUUUAAUUUUUACCUUUUCAAAAAUGGAUAAGUGUUUAAAGAAAAUCCCCAGUCCAUUUUUCUGUUCUUAAUUGCUUAUGCUUUUGUGUUGAAACAUUACCUGUUAUGGCAAAUUGAUGGAGUUGAGGUAUUAUUGGCAUUGUCUGUCUGGACACAGAAAUCAUCAAUAGGCAACAAAGAAACCCAGAGGUAU
ensembl:lncRNA